rnacentral:misc_RNA from 1 species
AAGAAGAAGCUUUGCUACCUCCACAGCAGAUACAAGGUGGCCCAUAACAGGGAAGGGGACGAACACAAGCUGUGCUUUAUCCAUUUUCCUAAUGAAAUAGUAUAUAUUCUUAAUUUUGCUGCUAAGCUCGCGGUAUUUGCAGAGCUACCUGUGGGUGCCUGGGAGGCUGUAAUGAAAGAGCAGCUUGGUUCUUCCUUUCUUGAAGUACAUUAUAUAAAAUUCUAAGUCGAAAUUUCCAAUCAUGAUGGCCAAGGAUCAAGUGACGUCAUGGCUUUGCUGGAUUGGUACUGUCUCGACAGACACUUGGACCAUAACUUCAAAAUCUUUCGCUUUCAAUUUCUGUCUUUUUUAAUAAUGAAAAAUAGCUAUUGUGCAAGUGGUAGUUCAUAUGCUUUCUCAU